GGGAACUUUUAAAAUGAAUGGAUCAGGCUGUCACUGUCUAAAUCCACUAAUCAAAUCUCAACAUCCCCAAAGAGGAGACCACUAGACAUCAUGCACUCAUGAUGUGAUGAGAGAGGAAGUUCACAGGCCAUCUGUGAAGUAUCCUUGUCAAACAAUGCAACCUGGAUUAAUCGAGAUCUAAAUGAUACUUUUUAGGAAAUACAGGUCUUAGGGAAAUACGUUGGAUGAUGCCACACAGAUGCAAUCAGCAAAACGCAGAAUGUGGGAAACUCUAUGGGGCAAAUGACCCAGUUUCUCCAACAAAUACAUUAUAAGGGGAAAAGAAAAGGCAGGGGAGCCCUUAAAUUAAAAGAGACCUAGAAGAUACAGUAACCAGCUGCAAGGAGUGGAUCAUAUUGGGAUACUAACUAAAAAAAGAAAAGAAAGAAAGAAAGAAACUGAGAAAAUUGAGGAAAGUUGAACACUGAUUGAAUAUUUGACAAUAUUAAUUCAUGACUGUUGAAGUUCGGUGAUGGUCUAUUGCACUAUUUUCUCCAUUUUGUGUGUGCUUGAAAUGUUCCAUAAUAUAAAGCUUAAAAACAGAGUGUGGGGAGGGAGGGAUACUCACGUACAUAGGAGUCAUUAAGAAAGAUUUUCUAUGAUAAAUGGGAAUAAUAAUCACUAUUUUCUAAGUACAGGGCCAACAGGUAAGUCACUCUUUGCUGUUUCUUCUUUAGUAACCAAUACUGUAAUCAGUAACUUACUGUAGACCCUAAAGGACUAUUUCAGGGAAGAUAUGCUGCUCUUCAUGAACAAAAGGGCUUAGCUCCAAUGUGAUUAGUCCUGCAGGCAGGCUUUUUUCAGCUACCUUAGCAAUGACCAGGGCCAGUGCUUGGCUGGAUGAUGAAACCAUGAGAGAGGUAUAGAAUGCUUCUGUACCACCUUCCUACUGCCUCUCUCAGGUCUUCCUGCCUCUUCCAUACUCUUUUGCCACAAAGGAGCAGGGCUACUUUGUCCAGUUGAGCAGGCUGUACACUGCACAACUCUAGGGAAAUACAGAGCCUGUGUGAAUGGUACCCCUUGGACUUAGGCAGCACGGAAACCCUUAGCAGCAGCCUAGUCACUUCAUGUCAUCUCGGAGUUUGGGACUCCUUAGCCUUAACCAGGGCUAUUUCCUCAGGACCCUACUUUCAGUCUCUGCUAAGGUCAAUGAGUAAUAAUGGUGUAAAUCAUAUUAGAUUUUUUUUUUUUUAAUGUAGGCUUCACGCCCAGCACAGAGACCAAGGUAGGGCUUGAACUCAUGACCGUGAGACCAAGACCUAAGCUGAGAUUGAGUCUGACACUUAACUGACUGAGCCACCCAGACACCCCCAUAUGAGGUCUUUAAGUUGGCAUUUUUCUAGUAUUUCUACCGAUAUCUUUCUCCCACCUAUAAAAUCCCCAUGUGUUAGUCAAGAAAGGCUGAAAGCUCCCAGAUCUUAGUAGUUGAACAAAAUGGGUUUUGUUUCUUGCCUCCAUCAUAGUCCAGUAUGAGGGUAGGGUAGAAAGGGAUCUGCCUCUUCCUCUUUCAGGCUCCAUCAUCAGCCAUCACCUCCUUCCCUGAGUCUACUGCAAGAGAAGAAAGUGUGACAAGGCAUCUCCAUCCAAAUGGCCUCUGACCGGAGGUGACACAUAUCCCUUUGACUCACAAUCCAUCAGCAAGAACAUGUGGAGGAACAGAGUGCCAAGGAAGGUGGUGCUGAUGUGUCAGAAUAACCAGCUAGUCUCAGCUACACCAUGGGCGGUGGCCAUGCCUUAUUCCAGUUAAAUUAACCAGCCUCCACUGCAGGAUGCUGACACUGACAGGAGGAGUUCCUGGCCCCCCAGAGAGACAGAGCUUCACAUAAAGAAAACUGAGGUGCAGGGCUGGGGCAAGAAACGUCUUCCUUUGUGGCUGUUUCUUCGCAUAGGCUCAUAGAACAUUGUCCACGAAGGUGGGAGCAGCACCCUCCUCAAGUUUUAAGCGCAUACAAACCACUGGGGACCCUGGUGGAGGCGGGGAUCCUGGGGAAGGGCCCAAGGAUCUGCAUUUUGGAAAAGCAGUAAGGGGAUGGGCCACUCUCUGAGCAGCAAGUGUCUAGAUUCAAUGUUGUUCAACCAUUUCCAUUUCAAAACAUAUUUGUAAAUUUGCCCAAGUUAUAUAGAAAAUACAGUCUGAACAGAUGAGCAAAGUGGCAAAAUUGUUCUCCUUAAAACUGCAUUCCUUAAUAAAUACUUCGU